rnacentral:lncRNA from 1 species
UUUCACAUAAUUCAUUUUUUAAUUUGUUUCGAAAUUCCCGUAAUAUAAGCAGGAAAACUAUUUAAAGAGAGAAAGUGAUACCCAAAACAUUGAAAACAUUGAGAUUUACAACUAAAGCAGAAAACAUGGUAUUAAAAACCAAAAGAUCACCCCAAUGGGACUCGAGUUUUUCCCAUUGUUUUGUCUCUCAUCAGUGGUACAGUUUCUCUGGGUAGGUAACAAAGUACAAAAAAUAUUUUGAAUACACAUUUACUAAAAUGUGUAUUCAGAAAUAAAGCUAAAGAGCAAGCAGCUGGAACGCAGUUGUGUUUGUAUACCCAGUUACCCACUGGUCUAGGUAGUUGUACCCAGUUAUUUUCAGUGUAGACACGUGUGUCCCAUUCUUGUGAUAGAGUCACAGCAGAGAUCCGAAAGUGCUAAUUACUGAAAUUAUGUCAUAAAGUGCCAUGCUUGAAUCAAGAUAAUUCUUUCGUAAUUUUUCAGAAUUGUUGAGGAGCCCCCAAAGAGAGUGUUGCUGAAUUUCCCGGUGAGCCUAACAAGCACAUGAUGAAGACGUCAAAGCAGAGGCACCAAAAGUUUUUUUAAAAAUGUUCGUUUAAUAAUAUUUCAAAAAGAAGAGAAAACCUAGAUGCUUCUGGGGGAGAAUCAGAGUGCUGAGGCAUGCUUCACACCCAGGUCGUCGUUUGAUGUUUCGUGGUGAGCAGUGCUUCUCAGUCUCUUCCAUCCUUCAUGCUUCUCUGCAGCCCCGAUAGAGUCCUGGCAACAGCGUGGAUCCCUGCACCUCAUGGACGGCAUCAGGCACAAAGAGAAGUCCAAGAACCAUCAGAUCACAAGAGGAGACUCUCUUGGAAGGAACUAUAGCUGUCAGUCAUCGUAUGCGUGCAAGUACAUACAAAUCUACUUAAGUGGACAGUGCAGUUCCCGAGCACCCGAGUACAAAGUAGAGCGAUACAAUCUCAGCAGAAAGGAAGACAAGCUUCUCGAAGACGGGACAGCGUGGCCGAAAGGCACUCGCCCUGGGCUGCUCAGGAGUGGAAGUGCGGUCUUUGCAAGUCAGUGAAAGGCUUAGUUUCCUCAUUUUCAGCCUCCUCAUCUUCAACAUGCAGGACUAGACUGAAGGAUCUAUUAAGAGCCUUCAGCUUAAAAAAUAAAUAAAUACAAAAGAACA